UACGUAGGGUGCGAGCGUUAAUCGGAAUUACUGGGCGUAAAGCGUGCGCAGGCGGUUCUGGAAGUCAGCUGUGAAAGCCCCGGGCUUAACCUGGGAAUUGCGGUUGAAACUACAGGGCUAGAAUCUGGCAGAGGGGGGUGGAAUUCCACGUGUAGCAGUGAAAUGCGUAGAGAUGUGGAGGAACACCGAUGACGAAGGCAGCCCCCUGGGCUGAGAUUGACGCUCAGGCACGAAAGCGUGGGGAGCAAACAGG
rnacentral:rRNA from 1 species